GAAAUGGCGUUUUGCUUGGCGGAUUUGGAGGAUCGUCUCCUGGCACAGGAGUGAAGAUUAUUGGUUUUCCAUUCACAUCGAUGACGGCGGGAUCACCAGAGGGGGGGUCCCUAGGGAGCAAAAAAAAAAAAAAAAAAAAAAAAAAAAAAAAAAAAAAAAAAAAAAAAAAAAAAAAAAAAAAACCAAGGGGAUAAAGCACGUUAAAAAUGGCGAUGAGAUAAUUCAAUGUCUCAUAUUUACAAAUCAAAUGCGCAGAGAGCAGGAGUAGCGUAUAGAAGCAACAUAUUUACAUAUCAAAUGCGCGUCUAUGUAUUGUUGAAUUCAAUGUCUUUGAACGGUCAAAAGUUUCUUUCAUUUCUUUUUCUUCACUGCUAUUCCCACUAAACUUGAGCUUUUUUUAUAAACAAACGUUUAAACUUUUUGUAAGGAAAAUUUUAAAAUAAUAUAUUUUGUUUAUUGUUUUUAGUGAAUGGAUGUGAUUCUUCGUGAAAGGAUGCAAUUCUUAGUGAAUGGAUGCAACUCUUAGUGAAUGGAUGCAACCCUUAAUGAGUGGAUGCAACUCUAAUCAAAGGGUAUGACUCUUAGAGUGAAAGGAUGUGACUCUUAGUGAAAGAAUAUGAUAUGAAAAGACACGUCUUUAUAGUGUGUCUCUUCGUACAUAUGCCCGUUGGAAUCAAUGGUUAUAUUCAUUGAACUUGAUUCAUAUAACUAUUUGGUAGUUAUGAUCAAAUAAAAAGUCACAAUCGAAAGGUCACUUCACAAAACACCUAUUCAUGAAUAGUCAUUUCACGAAACACCCUUUCGUGAAUAGUCACUUCAUGAAGCACCCGUUCGUGGCCUAUAUAAGUCCAUAGCAUUGGUUGCAGAAGGAGACAGACAGAAAACAGUUGAAGAGUUGAAGUCUUCAUUCAUAAUAAUUCCAUUCUUGUUUUAUAUUCUAUUUCUUUUGACAACUUAAUCGAGUGAGUGCUCAAAGGCUCGACUUCGUGUGUGCAAACGCAGUUGAGGUUUACGCUUCAUUGUAUCCUGGGAGGUUGUUCGUUGACCCGGUGCACACCAAAUUGUUAGAACGGUGGGGACGGAUUAAGCCUUAAGGAAAGUGGCAUUGCUACACGCCUUGAAGCCUUUUUAAUCUUUCUAUUUCAUACCUUUAUCACAAUCUGUUCCAACACUUUUAAUAUUUGACAAUUAAAUUUCAUAAACUUUAUCAGAUAAUUCAGUAGACUCUUUUGCUUAACUAAAGUUAUUAAUUAUAUAGUUGUUUUGAUCGUAUUUCUUUUAUAAAACUUAUAAAGCUAGCUAGUAGUUCAAAGAAGGAAAAUAUUUAUUUAUUUUUAUGAUAAUAUAUAUAGAAAGAAAAUAAUAGAAACUGACCGUUUCUAACUUAAGUGUGGCAAGCAUAUCGAUCUGCUCCGAUACACGACUUCUGCAGUCGAACAAUCAGAUUGGGCCAAAAUGGUGUUGAGCUCAGUGAAUUUUGAGGAUCAAGUCCUUUCAUGAGAGCCCGGCAAUUAGUUUGUCCAUUAGAAUUGUAACUGCGGGGGAUCAAACGGUUUCGGCAAACUUACCGCUGGGUAGACGAAGCAAAAGGCGGCGAUGGGAGCGAUCAGAGCUCACCCUCCUGAUAAGAUUGUAUUUUUUUUCUUUCAUAUAGUGAAUUAUAUCUUUCUUGUUCUUUCCGUUGAAGUAGGCAAUUGCCGCUGUUAUAUUUCAAAUUUUUUCAUCAGUUAUUAAUGUGAAAUGACUUUUUCACCCCUCAACUUUAAUUUUUGGAUUCACACUUUCUUUUAAGUUCUGAUCAUUUGCAUUCGAGUGAGUUUUAUAAACUUCUAUCAAAUUCAUGUAUAACUUUACAAAAUCUAAUCAUUUUGACUCAUUUUUUAGUAAAUAAAAUUAACUCAAUUAUUUUUUUUGAGAAAAAAGUAGCACACUACCUGUUUCAUUCAUUAAGAAAAAAUGAACUGAGCUUUACAAAAUGAAAGCAGCUAAGGCCUCUGAGUAAACCGACGACAGUAGGUAAAAUUUUAAAAAAUAACUAAAGGGAAAGGAAGUGACAAGGUGAGAGAGGAUAGGGGUAGCGAGGGUGACAAGGUGAGAGAGGAUAGGGGUAGCGAGGGUGCAGCGGCGCAUCAGAAAAGAGCGUUCCAGUUGGAGAUCAGCAUUUUAACUCAAUUAUUAAGUUGACGGUUGGAAGGGUAAGGGGGAGACGGAUGACACAUUUUGACGCCCACAAGUUGGUUGACUGACAGUCGCCAUCCCCCAACUAAACUUCCCUCGAAGGCCGGAGGCAUUCCCCUCAGCCAUAGACCACAUAGAUUUUCUACGCCUAAUUUGGAUCUUUUUACAAAAUAGUUCUUUAAAAAAUUUUAUAAUUAAGGGAAAACUUCAAAAACCCCCCCCUGUGGUUUCAUGCAUUCUCACUUUAGUACCCUGUGGUUUAAAACGUAUCAAUUUACCCCCCUGUGGUUUCGUUUUUAUCUUUUCAGAAGCUUUUUCGUUAAUAUUUCGUUAAAUUAUAUACAAAAAACUUCAGAUAACCAUCUAUGUUUAUCGAAUAUUCACUUUAGUAUCCUUUAAUUUUAAUUUUGUCACUGAUUUANUAAAUUAUAUACAAAAAACUUCAGAUAACCAUCUAUGUUUAUCGAAUAUUCACUUUAGUAUCCUUUAAUUUUAAUUUUGUCACUGAUUUAAGAAAAAAAAAAUAAUAAAAUUGAUAACAAAAAGAGAAAAAUGAAACCACAGGGGGGCAAAUUGAUACGUUUUAAACCACAGGGUAUGAAAGUGAGAAUGCAUGAAACCACAGGGGGGGUUUUUGAAGUUUUCCCUAUAAUUAAUGAAAUAAUUCUGUCAAAUUUAAAUUUGACAAACUAAUCCUUUUGUUACCACGUAGAAGCCAAAUUGGAAUUUUUCUCUGAAUAUUAUGAAUGGUUCAUCGUCUUCUGAAGAUGGCGAAUAACUCAUCACUUUCUGAAGACAGAAUUCAUCAUCUUUAAUAUUCAUAUUAUAAUUAAAGACGGUAAAUGAUUCACCGCCUUGCUGAUGGUGAAGUCCUACCUGGCUCCUACGUAGCAAAAAGCGGAUUAGUUUGCCAAAUAUAAAUUUGGCAGGAUUAUUUCGUAAAUUAUAAAAUUUAAAAAUAUUAUUUUGUAAAAAAGUGCUUUGCUGGGGUCUUAUUCCUCCUUUCGUCUCUUGCCCCAUCAAAGAAAAGCAAACGUCUAUUAUGUAACACUUACAACAACAUUAUCAUAUUAAUAAUUAAUCUAUCACAACUUUUGUUUGAAAAAAAAUAUAAUAAAAUAUUUUUCUAAUAAUCAUGAUGGGAUAGGUGAAUCUAAGGAGAACAAUCUGAUUAGUUGGAGAUGCCACAUCAGCAAUAUUAUUUAUUGCACUCCAAACUUUUUCCCACCAAAAUAAGGAAGUGCAGAACUAGAAUAAAACUCUAGUGGGAAGCUCCCUAAUUAUAUAUAUUGUUAUAUUUGGUUUAGAUUUGUAGUUAUUUAAAUUGGAGUUAAAUCCUAAUCUAAUUAGAAUUAUAUAUAAUUUAGAUUUAAUUUGGUAUAUAUAGAUUAUGAGUCGGAAUCUAAUUUCAAUUAAAUUAGACUUGUGUUUAGAAAUCCAAUUAGAUUAGAGUUUCAAUUAGACUCUAAUUCGAAGUCAUACUCUAUAUAUAUGCCGGCCAAAUUAAUGAAGCCGGUGCGCUCAAAUUAGGCCAUGCUCUAAUUAACAAAGAGCUCAAAUUAAAGGGCCUAAGAGAUUGUGCUGGUGGCUAAAUUAAGUCAUGCACGUUGGUGGAGAGUUGGCAUUUGUUGGUCUGUACGGGUUGAGAGAGAAGCCGUUUUUUGGAGUUGUUUGUUGCAGCAUUUCUGACCUAAUUAAGCUUCGGUUUUUUGAGAGAUUUUUUUUGUACUCCGUUUUCGAUAUUAAUAAAUUAUUUAUUCUGUCUUCGCCCGUGGACGUAGGCCGUUGGCCGAACUAUGUAAUUAUCGGUGUGCUCUUUCCUUUUCUUUUUGUUUUCUGCAUUAAAUUAUUUUUUGGAUCUAUUUUUAGCCGUUCCGAUUUUAACAAACUGAUAUCAGAGCCUUUCUAUUCCCUUUAAGGAUUAAGAUGACGACAAAAUUCGAAAUUCAGAAAUUCGACAAGACCAACAGUUUCGCAUUAUGGCAAGCUAAGAUGCGUGCUGUAUUGACGCAACAAGAAUUGCAGAAGGCACUGUUAGGAAAAGAAAAGAUGUCCGAUUCUUUGACGGCGGAGCAGAAGGAGGAUAUUGAUGACAAAGCUCUUACAGCAAUACAAUUAUGCUUAUCCGAUGAGCUAUUGCGCGAGGUCUUGGAUGAAAAGACCGCUGCAGGGCUUUGGCUUAAAUUGGAGUCUCUACAUAACGAAGUCUCUCACCAACAAAUUAUAUUUGAAGCAACGUAUCUUCAUGUUGCGCAUAGUGGAAGGUACCUCUAUUAAGUCGCAUUUAGAUGAAUUUAAUUAUAUAUUAUUAUGGAUCUCCGCUCGAUAGAUAUUAAAAUCGAUGAGGAGGAUGAAACCUUUUUAUUAUUAUGUUCUCUACCGCCCUCUUAUAAGAAUUUUCGUGAGACCUUGUUUGAACGAGAUACUCUGUCUCGAUAAUAUUAAAUCCUCUUAACUUUCAAAAGAGAGAAUUGACAUGCAGAUAAGUAACGAGACAGUUGGAGUUUCAGGACAAGGUUUGGUCGCUAGAGGGAGGUCUCGGGAGAAGGGUUCCGGUAAUAGAGGUACAUCUAGAUCAAAGUUAAAGCACAGAAAUCUGAUUUGUGGUUAUUGUAAGAAGAAGGGUCACAUAAAAGCUGAUUGUUUCAAGUUGAAAAAUAAAGAGCAGUAAAAAAAUAAUGGUGAUAAAAAUCAAGGUCAUAAAAACACCAAUAUUGAAGCAGAAGCAAGUGUUGCAGCAGGAGAAUCAGAUAAAAAUAAUAUCGAUUUCACAGUUACGGAUAAGACACGCAGACAAGAUGAGUGGCUUAUGAACUCCGCAUGUUCCUUCCAUAUCUGUACGCAUAGAGAAUGGUUCUCGAUGUACUAGCCUAUUGAAGGUGGAGAUGUAUUGGUGGGAAAUCACUCUAAGUGUACAGGUAUUGGAAUUGGCAUUAUUCGGAUACGACUGUUCAAUGGGGUAGUGAGAACUAUAUCUGAGGUUCGACAUGUUCCGGAUAUGAGAAAAAUCUGAUCUCAUUAGGUACAUUUGAUACUAAAGGCUUUAAGUGUUCUUCAACUGACGGAUUAAUGAAGGUCGCUAAAGAGAAUCUUGUAGUGAUGAAGGCCAAGUUGUCCGACAUAUUAUAUGUUAUAUAGAGUUCCACUGUGACAGGUUCAGCAGCGGUGAUUUCUUCCUCUAUGUCAGAUUCAAAUAGUACCAGAUUAUGGCAUAUACGACUGGGCCAUAUGAGUGAAUAUGGUAUAAUGAAGUUGGGCGAGAGAGGUCUAAUUGGUAGUAAGAGUUUAGAAAAGUUGGACUUUUGCGAGCAUUGUGUUCUUGGCAAAUAAAAGAGAGUCAGCUUUAAGGCCGCAGUUCACCGGACAAAAGGUACUCUGGACUACAUUCAUUCUGAUCUUUUGGGACCUUCUCGUAUUCCUACUUAUGGUGGUGCUAGAUAUAUGUUGACUUUUAUUGACGAUUAUUCUUGUAAAAUGUGGGCGUUCUUUCUGAAAAGUAAGGAUGAGGUGUUCAAUUAUUUUAAGCAAUGAAAGAUCAUGAUUGAAAAGCAAACUAAAAAAAAAAGAUCAAGAGAUUAAGGACUGACAAUGGUUUGGAAUUCUGUUCGUCAGAGUUUAAAAAUUCUGCAAAAAUGAAGGGAUCGUCAGACAUAAGACCGUUAGGUAUACUCUGCAGCAGAACGGGGUAGCCGAACGGAUGAAUAGAACUCUUUUGGAGAGGGCUCGUUGUAUACUCUCUAAUGCUGGCUUAGCUAAGAGUUUCUGAGCAGAGGCGAUCUUUAUGGCAUACUAUUUGGUAAAUCGAUCUCCACAUUCAGCACUUGAUUGCAAAACUCCGAAGAAGGUAUUGUUUGAUAGCCCUUCUGAUUAUUCUAAUCUGCUCAUAUUUGGUUAUCCUACUUACGUUCGUAUUAAUGAAGGCAAAUUAGAACCUAGAGCUAAAAAGUGCAUUUUUAUUGGUUAUGCAUCGGGGGUUAAGGGAUAUAGAUUGUGGUGUCCUAAAUAGUCUAAAUUAAUUAUUAGUAGGGAUAUCAUAUUUGAUGAAUCGGGUAUAUAUAUCCAAACCGUAAUUCUUCUGAUGAGACCUCGAGUACUAGCAAACAGGUGGAGCUAGAGACCGAUGGCAUAGUUCAGACACAAAAUUCUUCUCAGUAAAAAAUAGUUUAGUCGGCAGAUAUCUCAGUAACUAAAACCCACAAGUUGAGAGGCAGAGUAUUGCUACAGGCAGAACGAAGAGACAGAUCAAACCACCGCAGAAAUACGGUUAUGAAGAUAUGGUUGCCUACGCUCUUUAAAUGGCACAAGAUACAGAAGAAAAAGGUGAACCUUCUACCUAUAAUCAAGCUAUUUCUAGUGCCAGUUCUGUAGAGUGGUUGGUGGCGAUGAAUAAGGAGAUAGAGUUUCUCCAUAAGAAUCGCACAUGGGAGUUGGUAAAACCGCCUACAGGCAAAAAAAAUUGUCUGCUGUAAGUGGGUCUUGAAGAAAAAGGACAGAAUCCCCAGCGUGGAAGAUACAAGAUAUAAAGCUCGUUUAGUUGUUAAGGGGUACAGUCAGGUAGAAGGUGUUGACUUUAAUAAUAUUUUCUCACCCGUCGUGAAGUAUACUUCUAUUCGUAUUCUCUUAUCGUUAGUAGCCAUGAAUUAUCUGUAUUUUGAGCAGCUUGAUGUUAAGACAAUUUUUCUGCAUUCUGCAUGGAGAACUUGAUUAGCAAAUUUAUAUGAAACAGCCGGAGGGAUUCAUUGUUGAAGGAAAAGAGGAUCACAUUUGUCUGUUAAAGAAAUCGCUUUAUGGUUUAAAGCAGUCUCCUCGACAAUGGUAUAAGCGGUUCGACUCCUUUAUGACAGGUCACGGAUAUUCCAGAAGCAAACGUGACAGUUGCGUGUAUUUCAAAAAACUUGGUAAGAAAUUAUUUGUUGCUCUAUGUCGAUGAUAUAUUAAAUAAAUUGAAGGCUUUACUUAAAGGUGAGUUUGAGAUGAAAGAUCUAGAUGCUGCUAAAAAAAUUGUUGGUAUGAAAAUUAAGAAGAACAACAAGUCAGGACUACUGCAUUUGACACAUGACAACAAGUCAUACUCUAUAUAUAUGCCGACCAAGUUAAUAAAGCCGGUGCGCUCAAAUUAGGCCAUGCUCUAAUUAACAAAGAGCUCAAAUUAAAGGGCCCAAGAGAUUGUGCUGGUGGCUACGUGGCAACGGCACCAUGGUGCAGAUCCGUAGCCUUUAAUUAUGGAGAGCUCUAAUUAAGUCAUGCACAUUGGUGGAGAGUUGGCAUUUGUUAGUCCGUACGGGUUAAGAGAGAAGCCCUUUUUUUUGGAGUUGUUUGUUGCGGCGUUUCCGACCUAAUUAAGCUUAGAUUCUUUCGAGAGAUCUUUUUUGUACUCCGCCUUUUCGACAUUAAGAAAUUAUUUGUUCCGUCUUCGUCUAUGGACGUAGGUCGUUGGCCGAACUACGUAAUCAUCGGUGUGCUUUUUCUUUUUCUUUUCGUUUCCUGCAUUAAAUUAUUUUCUGGAUCUAUUUUUCGCUGUUCCGAUUUUAACAUAUAUCUUUUGAAAAGUCUUCAAUCUGCUGCGUAUUAGUUUUAAUUUAUUUAGAAAAAUUUUGCAUAUUUUGUAAUACUAAAUUUUUAAAAAAAAUUAAAUUUAUAGGAAGAAUAAUUAUAAUCUUUAGAUAAAAACAAAACUAACACAUGGCUACGAGUCCCUAAUCUGCUGCUAUGUGUUAGUUUUACUUAUAUCUAAAAAAUAAUUGGGUAUGUUUUAAUAUUCAAGGGGCAAUUGCUUAUAUACUCCUGAAAAGUUUUCAACUUUCCGAUUUAUCCCUCUUAGAAGGCUAAUAUUGAAAAUACCAUUUCCAUGUUCCAACCUAUUUUUAAUUGACAAUAUGUUUAAUUAAUUGAGAUAAACAUUUUUUCAUCGACAUUUUUUUUUUUUCUUAAUUAACCACGAUGGCCCGGCCCUCAGGUUCCAUCUACAAUUUAUGGUGGAUAUUGGCAUGGACUACCUUUAUUAAGGGACUAAAUCUGCUUUAAUUUAUGGGCAGCAUUUAACCUCAAGUUUAAUAUAGAAUAUUUUUUAAUGUAUAUAUACACAUACUUAUGUGGUAAUUAAGACGCUAAAGAGUGCAUCCGUUUAUGAAAUAAUAUUUUAAGGCAUAAAUAUUUUUAUUCUUGAAAUGAUUAAAUAGUUUAUGAUAGAGAGGAGUUAAAACAAAUUUUGUAUUUGAUAUGACCUCUACUUAUUCUCUAGAAUAACUUAAAAUAUAUUUGAUUAUUUUCUUAGUAAUAAUAGAAAAUAAUAAAAUAUAUAUAUAUAUAUAUAUAUAUAUAUAUAGAUUAUAUUAUACUUAUGUACUUAUAUAUAUACUAUAUAUAAAACAUUUAAUUUAUAUAAUAUAUAAAUACAAUACUAUACAUACAUUUUUACGAUAGAUAUAUGUAGUAUUAUAUGUAAUGUGAUAUAUAUAUGUAUGUAUUAUAUGUAUUGUAAUAUAUAGUACUAUAUAUAUAUUAAUAAUAUAUAAUUGAGCUCUAUAUUUUAAAAGUAUUAAUAAUUGGGAUGUUUAUAAGUUUCAGACCUUGGAUUAGCAUUAGUUACGGCUAUUAGGAGUAUAGUGAGUUCCUAGGAGUUGAAUUGAUUGGUUGGGCUGCAUAAGUAGAUCUUAGGAAUAAAAUUAAUAACACAUGUACGAUCUAACUGCGAAACAGUUUACAGCAUCAAGUGCUUGAUGCUUUUUCAGCUCAGUAGCUGGAAUCAGUAUAUAAAAUUGUAUCAUCAUUUUUUGAGGAUAUUUAUUUCAACAUUCAUUUUUUUGUUACUUGGAUGGACAGAGAAACAAUAUCGGAAAAUAUGUGAAAUUUGCAUUUCCAGAUAGUUUUAAUAGUUUAGAUCUGUUUACGGAGCAAUCCUCAUUUGGAAUUAUCAUCGAAAACAAAUCGCCGUAGUAAACAGAACGUUUACUAGCGAUAGUUUUUCUAGGCACGUUAUAUAUAUAUAGAGUCCGGUAUGCUAUCAUACCAUCAAGCACUUGGUUGCUAUUAGUUGUUCUGCCGUUAGAUGUAACCCUGAUUAUUUUUAACCAGUUAGAUUACAUUCAAACCAAUCACCAACUAUGUAUUUAUUAUUAACUAGGGGCCACAUAAGCCUAACGUACAUUUAUCAAUAUCAAGGGUAAAAACUUAAUAGACAACAACUUGGAUGACUAUUGAUUAGUAUCAGCUAGAUUGAUAUAUAUUCUUUAUAAUAUAUGUAAUAUAUAUAUAUAUAUAUAUUAUAUAUAUAUUAUAUAUAUAUAGAUAAUAGUAGGCAACUGUGCGGUGAGUAUUAGGAAGUACGCAGCCUUGUGGCUACCUAAUUUUCUAACACCCAUCAAGUUUAAUGGGUGGUUGAAUGAGAGAUGGGAAUGAAGAUAUUGAGGAGAAAUAAGAAGAAAUUUAAGGAGAAGAGAAAUAUGAGACACUCAAUUUUCCUGAAUUAUCUCAUCCUCUCUCUCAUUCUAACCACUCAUUCAAACUUGAUGGGUGUAGUAGAAUUAGGAACACAAAACUGCUGUGCUCCCUAAUAGUACAAGUUUUUUGACCGUGUAGAACUCUACUCUUCGGAUCAUUUCAACCACUAAUAGAUUAUACUAUUACAUCAACCACCCACUUCAACCCUAAGGGGCCCACAUCAUCUUACCGCAUAUCUCUUUAAUCUAAUAGCUAAAUAAAUCUACAAGCACAAUAACUUAGACAUUUUUAAAAGAGUAGAAAUCAAUAUAAUAUAUAUAAUCUAUAUAUAUAUAGUAUAUAUAUAUAUAUUAUCUAUACUAUAUAUAUUAUAAAAUUAGGCUACUAUACUAUAUAAUAACAUCAAGUGCAUGUGGUUACCAAUUUUUGGCAUUGGAUAGAGAUAUGCGUAGGAAAUGAUAUGGGGCCUAGGUUAAGUGGAUAGUAUAGUGUGGUUGAAUAGUAUGAUCUAACGGUGUGAAAAAUUAUCAAAAUGGUUAGAUUGAACGGCGAAGAAAAUUUGGUAGCACCAAAUGUUAGUGUAGUUAAAUAGCAUAGUAUGCCGGGACCUAUUUAUAGUAUAUAUCUAUAUAUAUAUAUAUAUAUAGAAUUAAGCUGGAAUACUAUUAAUAGUAAAACACUCUUUUUGCUAUCAAGUUUUUAAUCCUUGGAUGAAAAAUUGUAGGGUAAGGAUGAUAUUAGUCGGUUAGAGUUGAGUGGUCCCCCAAGGGUUGAGUGGUCCCCACUGGGUUAUAGUAUUUAAUCCAAUGGUUAGAAAUAAUGAAAAGAGUUGAUCUAAAGGCUAAAAAACUGGUAGCAAUAAUGAAACUUUGCUACUAAUAGUAGCCCAGUCCAACUCUAUAUAUAUAUAUUAUCAUCAUGAGAACACCACAAUGGGAAAAGCCUUUUGUGGAACAAGUAUCUACAUCAGAUUUUCUUUUUCAUUAUUGUCGGAUUUUAGUAAUGUAAAAUAAUACAAAUCUAUUUAAAAAAUAAUUUAAAAUUAAAAUAAGUAUUAAGAAAUUUUUUUUUUACUAUAAUACUUGAUCGUUUGUUAUUAUUUUUAUUUGACAUAUUUGUAAAUUAUUGGAUGAUUCCUGCGGACAUUCAAACACCAAUUUUCAAUCGGAUCUGUGUUAUUGCAAUUUAUUGUCAACUUUCUAAAUGAUUUCUUGGAACAUUCAAGUAUCCGUAACUAAUCUAAAUAGCAUGGUGCUAAGUUUAUAGGGUGCUUCCUUGCAAUGCCCAAUUAUCAAAUUAUCAGGUGCUUUGUCGGAUGCCCAGUUAUCAAAUUAUAGAAAAGGACUUCCAGUAGUCAAAUUUUGAUUGAUGGGCUAUAAUUUAUCAAUAAGUCUCGGAAUGACUAAUUGGUCGAACAAACAUGUUUUGAGAAGAGGGGAGCAGAGGAGAACCGGCCGUCCCUAGAGUAAAUAGUAAAAGGCUUGAUGGUUCAUAUCCGAGACUCAAGUUCGAAUUCUAGUUGAUUCACAUUUUCAGCUAAGUUUAUUUCUAAAUGAAAUAACGAAGCGGAUAGCGUACUAUCUAUCUAAAAAACGAAGGAGAGGAGAGAAGAGAAAAGAAGAGACGGAAUUGAUGCAAUUUUUUUUUUUUUUGUUUUCUCCCUCUGUUUUUAUUUCUUAUACAUGUAUAUGUAUAAGAACAUUAAAGCUUAAUGGAAUAAAAAAAAAUUUUAGGAAAAAUUUCAAAUACCACCGUUAUAGUUUCACAUUUUUUCACUUUAAUAGCAUAUGGUUUAAAGUGCAUCAAUUUAGUGUCCUAUGGUUUCGCAUUUUCUCACUUUAAUAUCCUAUGGUUUAAAGUGCAUCAAUUUAGCAUCCUGUAGUUUUAUUUUUUUCUUUUCGUCGGCUCCUUUGUUAAUAUUUCAUUAAAUUAUAUACAAAAAACUUCAGAUACCCUAUCUAAAUUUAUCAAAUAUUUACUUAGUACCAUUUAGUUUUAACUUUGUCAUUGAUUUUUUUUUCCUCCGUUAACAUUUCGUUAAAUUAUAUACAAAAAACUUCAAAUACCCUACCUAAGUUUAUCGAAUAUUCACUUUAGUACCCAUUAAUUUUAACUUUAUCACUGAUUUAGCGAAAAAAAUUAGUGAAAUAGAUAAUAAAAAAAAAAAAGAAAUUAAACCACAGGGUACUAACUUGAUACACUUUAAACCACAGGGUACUAAAGUGAAAAAGUGCGAAACCACAGGGACUAAUUUGAUACACUUUAAACCACAAGGUAUUAAAGUGAGAAAAUAUGAAACCACAUGGGGUAUUUGAUGUCUACCCUUUUUUUUGUGAGGGUAAUUAUUUUCUUUUGACCAGUUUAAUUGGAGUAAUCUGCAUAUUUAAGGGCGUAAUUAACCAAAGACCUUUACAUCUUUAAGGAGCGUGAUCCCUUUAUUUCUGUUUAUGCAUUUAUUAAUUUGUAAAAUUUUAAGUUUUCUUCAUAACACUUGGAUACCAACUUCAAGUCAUUUGUCACUUAUGUACACUAGAUAAAUAACACUAAGACUAAUUAAUACUAAUAAACUACUAAAGUCAUAAUUUUUUUUUUUUUUUUUGCUGUUCGCAGCUUUGCACACACAAAAGCUCAAAUUAAAACCAACAACAACAACAACAACAACAACAACAACAACAAAAAAGGACCACGAGAAGUGGGAGGUGAAAAUGAAAUAUUUUAUUCGUCUGUUUCGCGACAGGUUUAACAAGUAGCAAUUAAAAAGAAAGAGGAAGGAAGAGGAGAAAAUUACAGAAAAAAAAGUUUUUAUUCGAUUAUCCAUGAUUGAGAAAGGGUGGUACGUAAAGCAAGAAGUGGCCGGAAGAAGCCAAUUACGGCGGCGGUCGCGGGCGGCGGACAUCAUAUAUAUAUGCAUGGUAGAUAUAUAGAUCAGCUGGCUCAGGCAAGCGUAUAUAUCGAUCGAUCGUGCUCCGGUUCACGGCUUCUGCAGUCGAGGAUCAGGAUGGUUUCCGAUACGAGGGGGCUGAAAUGGCGUUUUGGAUGGCGGCUUUGGAGGAUCGGGCCCUUUCACGGGAGACGGGCAUUUUAUUUCUCGUUCCCGAACGUUGCAGUUGUUGGAAUGUGGGGGCCGAGCAACUAGGGAGCGAGAAAAGACGGGAAGCAGAUGAAGCAAAUUCAAAUGAAUGGUGGUGAGAUCGAACCUCCGUCCACACACGGUUGAAUUCAAUAUCUUUGAACCUCUCAGAAGUUUUCACAUUACUCCUUUUUCAAUUUUUCUACAUAAAUAUAUAUGCCNUUUUUUUUUUUUUUGAGAGAGAAAGAUAGAUAGCACGUUAUCUGUUUCGUUUAUUUUAUUUAAAAAUAAACUUAGCUAAACAUGUAAAUCAAUUAGGAUUCGAACUUGAGAUCUCGGAUACCAACCACCAAGCCCUUUGCCACUUGCUCUAGGGACGGUCAGUCGUCCACACACAGUUGAAUUCAAUUUCUUUGAACCUCUCAAAAGUUUCACAUUACUCCUUUUUCAUUUUUUCCACAUAAAUAUAUAUGCCGGGGAAUGUGUGAAUUUUCAAUUUUUGACAAUUAUAUUCCGUAAACUUUAUCAAAUAAUUCAUUUUGGCAUUUUUUUAACUGAAGUUGCUUAUUAAACAGUUAUUUUAUCGUAUGUCUUGCAUCUAAUCUUGUAAAAUAAAACCACAUGCCUAAUUAUUAAAUUUGGAAAACAGAAAAAAAAUAUAUUUUGUACAUAGCAUACGGUCAAAACGGCUCUAUAAGUGCUAAUUUUGGUUGACAAGAGACGCCCAUUAGUAGUUUCAAAUAUUUAUCAAAAUUUUGCUUUCCAUUCUGUCCUUAUCCAAAAAAAAAAAAAAAAAAAAAAAAAAAAAAAAAAAAGAACUUUUGUCAUAUAGUACCAAAUUUAACUGAUGAAACAAAUGAUCUGAAGGAUCGACUGUCUCUAGAGCAAGUGGCAAAGGAUUUGGUGGUUGGUAUCUGAGACCAAUCCUAAUUGAUUCAUAUUUCUGGCUAAGUUUAUUUUUAAAUGAAAUAAACGAAGCGAGUAGCAUGCUAUCUAUUUCCCAAAAAAAUAAAUAAAUAAGCAAAUGAUCUGAAGGCCGGAUUAACCUUUUUCUAAAUUCUGUAUGCAUUAACGACAUGAAGUAGGAAUUACCAUUAUUUAGCAAAACAAGUAUUCAAAAUUAAUUGUUGGAACAAAUUAAGGUUAUUUUAACUUACUAACUAUUAGUUUCUUGCUAUAAAUCAUUCCAAUGAUUUAAUAUCUGUACUUAUCUUUUCAUUAAUAAACUUACGUUCAAAUGAUAGAGCAAUCUGCUUUAUAACAUCGAUCAAAUGAUGAAACUAAACUUACCUACGUUACCAGGGAACGCCGCAAGGCCUGGAAGUAAAAGACAGAGAAUGAUAGCGAUCGGAAUAACAACGGAGAAGAUGCUUCUUCUCCGAUGACGGUCCAUCAGCUUCAUAGCAAUAUUGUUCAGUACCGCUGUUUCUUGUGCUGGUGAUUUGAUUUGCUUGGC
rnacentral:lncRNA from 1 species